AUCUGUAGCUGCUCUAAUUGUUGAAAAAUCAUAUUGAAAGGAUUCUGCAGUGCUAAUAUCAUCACCGUGUAUACUCUGAAUAUCAUUCACUAGCUUCCUUCUUCGCCUCCUCAUCAAGAUGAAAGAAGUACAGACAAUAAGAAAAACACCUAUAACAGUUGGCACAACGAUAAUGAUGACCGUUCGAGUUGUUUUAUCAUCUUUUCCUGAUAGUGGCGGUGGCAGCGGUGAUGGGGGUGAUAAGGGU
rnacentral:misc_RNA from 1 species